rnacentral:lncRNA from 10 species
GCUCCUGUCACUGAAGACUUCUCACUUAUGUCUGCUAUUUGACAUGUCACCAGCAAUUAAGGAUAGAUCCAAGACAUCACAGAGUAAACAUACCUCAAAACUCACAGAGGGAAGGAAAUGCAAAAUGAUGUCAGGACAGAAACAGAUCCAGGAGGAAUAUCACCACGAUGCAGCAGAUCCUUGAUUUGAACAUCCACUUAACAAUAAUAUAGAUAACACUCUUGUGGUGAUCACUUAGCUGCUGACAUGGUGGGAUGGAGGAUUCCAGAAUGCGUCAUGACUCACUGCCAUUGUGUUUACAGACUUACAGCAUACCAUGAAGACUCUACAUUAAAGCCACUUCUUAAAGCAAAUGCCAUGUCCUACAGUGCCAUCUGCAGAGAAGCAGUUUGCACUUGACAGAAAUCAAGGUCUUCUAAGCCCCAAGUUAAAGAACUCUAUUCAGCCGGGCGCGGUGGCUUAUGCCUGUAAUCCCAGCACUUUGGAAGGCCGAGGCGGGCGGAUCAUCUGAGGUUGGGAGUUCAAGACCAGCCUGACCAACAUGGAGAAACCCCGUCUCUACUAAAAAUACAAAAUUAGCCUGGGGUGGUGACACACGCCUGUAAUUCCAGCUACUAAGGAAGGCUGAGGCAGGAGAAUUGCCUGAAUCUGGGAGGCGGAGGUUGCAGUGAGCCGAGAUCGUGCCAUUGCUCUCCAGCCUGGGCAACAAAAGCGAAACUCCAUCUCUAAAAACAAAAACAAAAACAAAAACAAAACUCCAUUCAAAAGUAAAGUAGAAACACUAUCUUGAUGCACCAAAAGACCAACUGCUCACAACUUUGGUUCCAAGGUCUGGAGAAUUUGCUGAGUCUGUGAGGCCUGGAGUUUCACAGCCAGUAUCCAAACAGGGACUAUUUCUGAUUAAUGUGUUGCUAGGUAACUCAUAAUUAUACAAGCAAAGAAGCAAGUUCAAUGUAAUAUAACUCACAUUGAUUUUUUUGGCUAUGCUGUAAGAGCUUGAUGUUAAUGUAUAGGAAAAAAAUUCCCAAUAUCCCCCAAACAUUUUGUUCCAAUAAAUACUUCUUAAUAUUUUGAAAUCACCUGGUUGUUCUUAUAGAUCUGAAAGUAUUUGAAACACAUUUUUAUUAUGAAUCAUGAUUUAGGCUCCUGAUAGACAGUUUUGUGAGCAUACUGACUUCUCUAUAAAUAUUACCAGCUCAUUCAAACUAAGUGGAGCAAGUGAAUAGAUUUGUGGUCCUUUCCGUACAGACUUAGAAACUUCCCGGUUUUAUUUUGGUCUAAUUAUAGGUUUUGACUUUUUCAAGGUACAUAAUCAAAGUCUGACCCCUAAAAACGUCUAAUAAAGCUAUGCUUUAAAGGCCAAAGAAAUAAACACAUUAUUUUAAGUGUCAUGGAGUUAGUGCAAAUCCAUGUAUCUUUGCAGGCCAGGGGGUGUUUUCUACCAGAUGAGGGCCUAAGGCAAUGAGGCGGCACAGACAUAAUAAAAGUCUGACGCAGAGAGGAUUUGAAUACCAGCUAGAGUAGUGGAAACAUGUUGUCAAUAAAUGUCUCAGGUCAAGAAACACACAAAAUGAGAAGAAAUCGUAGCAACCACCUUGCAGUGACCAAAAAAAUCUAUAUAUAUUGUCGGGAUAAUUCUGAGAAUAAAGCAGUACUAUGAUGCUAAAAAGAUGGUCUUCCUAAAUUGCAAUAUGAAUGACUGCACGUUAGAAAAGCAUGUAUUUUGGACCAACGUUGUGAAACUAAGCUGUCUUGGGACACCAGGCAUGAAGGCAAUGGGGCACAUUGGUUACGAGUUCUGGGUUUGGCCAGGGUGUGAAUUCCAACUCUCAUUGACCUUGAGGAUGUUAUUUCAAUUUUUUGUGGUUUAGUUUUCUUAUCUGUAUCUCACAAGGUUAUCAGAAAGAUUAUAUAUAAUCAUGUAUAAAGCUUGACAUCUGGCCUCUCAAAUGCUAAAAUAAAAAAUAAAAAAUAAAAAAAAACCCAACCUAAUAGUGUUAUAAUUACAGAAACAGAGUGUUCAGCUUAACAGGACACACUUUCCUUAUGUCCUUUCCUUCCUCAAAAGUAGGAGUAAUUCACCUCCUUCAGGCCAGUUGCAGGUUGCUUUGAGGCCUUGUGUUUCAGAGGAGUAGUAGCUAUUUUAUUACCACGUCUCUUAUUUUCAGUCUUUUAUUCCCCUUUAGUAAGUUUGGCUAGAUCUUCCUUUGUUUUUCUUUCACAUGAUUGAAAUCAGCCACCAGAAAUCACUGCACCCAUCACCCAGAUUCUGUAGUUUUGGUCAACUGCUUGCCAUCUUCUUCUCUACUUUGAUAUUAAGCACCUGGUCAAGAAUUGCAUCUCCCAGGGCUUGUCAGCAUUACUGACACUUUCCUGCAGGCACCUUUGGAAAUGGGCCAACAUAGUGCUGUUUUGGACUAUCAUUUAUCUAGCAUUUGCCCUCAAAGAUACAAACCUAAGUUUAAUCUUAUGAUAUUAACCAUGAUAGAUUGCAACCUCAAUAAUUUUUAUUCUAACAAUUAGAUCUGCUAUUCUUUGGACAGAAUGGCUUUCUUUUGGACGAUCUUUUUGGCAGUCUUUUAGAUGAUAAAGAAGUAAACAAAGUUGUCAAGAAAGUUAAAAGACAUAUACUCGAAACUCUACGGGGGAAAAAAAAGACACUAGGAAGAGCUCUCUGUCCUGGAUGGCAGUAAAGAAAGUAAAGCUACAUAUUUCUAACACAAAUCUUCUGUAUCAUCUCUUGUUUUACAUAAUUCAUAGACUCGCUCUUUAGCAUAGAAUUUGUGGCCAUGUACAAAGGUCACAGCUAGAAUACUGCAAAAUGUGUACAUCUGAGGGCAGAAAUUCUUUUUCCCCAUUACUUAUUUAUCAAACAGGUUGAUGUCAGAUAGAAAGCUUUGGGUGUUGUUUUGCCUUUCUUCCUCCCAUGCAAAUAAUCAUCUCUGUGUCCUACCUUGUUAACCUUUUCUGUUUAUUUCUAUUUCCCUGCAACUCCUUAUUAUAGUUGCCAGUUAAUCACAAAUAUAUUAAAAGAUUUCUUUUUAAUCUAGCAGUCUUCAUCGCUUUGUGGUAUCUAUGUGAACAGUUGUGUCCUCGCUAAGAGAGUGUCCAAUUACACGCACGGCAGGGAAAAGCAAGAGAUCAGCAGUUGACUAUGCUUUUGUCUAAGGUAUCAAAUGUGAAAGCAAAUUAGGUAUCUAAAAAUAAAAACUAAAAUUAAGACUAAUAAAAUGGAGCUUUGACUUUUCUCAUCACAGACUCAUUUAUACUUAAUGACACAGACUGACUGCAUAGGUAAUUGUUAUAAUCUCUCUUGAAAUGGAUUUUAAAAAAUGGCUGAUCUAUUCUUCUUUUCAGGACAGGUAAAUGGAUGCCAAGACAACAGAGAAACAGGAAUCUUUUUGUGUAGUUAUAUAUUAAUUUGUUUGCAAUAUUGGCUUGCAAAUAGAAGGCCAGAGAGAGAUCCAGCACCACAGGGAUUCAAAUCUCCGUUGACAAGUGUUUAUAAAUGACUCGCAACCAGAACAUAUAUGUGGAAUCAGCACACAAAACUGGCAAGAGCACUGGUUCCGCUGCAGAAAUUACACACAAGAGGAGCUCUUUCUGUGUGCUUUCAUGCAUCAGUCUAGAGCCAGUUCUUCCUCAUUCACAUUGAAACGUCAGGUUCGGCCUGAAUAAUGUUUCCAUGCGGGCCUAAAAACUUCUGCAAAAAUUCGAUGGAAGUAAAAAUCACACAAGACCUCAUCACACUCCUCCAUGUGAUCUCAAUAUUUUUAAAGAAAAUAUUUAUAUACGUUUUAUUUAUAAACCACUAUUCUAAGACUUAUAAGUCUAUAAAGCUUCCAUUUGGGCAAAAAUGUAAUCUCCCAAGAUAUAGCAGCUCUCUAAGCUAAAAAUAAGAGAGAAUAUUUUUGAAGAGACAAGAGUCUCAGGUUCCUUGUGAGGGAACUCAAAAUAUUUCACCCCAAAAUAUGGCAAUCUGAGUGUUUUAAGUUAAAACCUCAUAGAGAUCAAUAAGCACUGGAGGAGAGUUUUCCCCUAUCAACAGAAAGACAGGACUGACUCACCCAGGAGAACAAUUGUUCUUGUUCCCCUCCCUGGUAUCUCAUUAUUCACUACAGGAAAGAAGACCAAAAAUGUAAGCAUACUUGAACAUACAUUUUUCAAGAUAAUGAGUGUCUCAAAUGAUUAUUUAAAUUCCAAAGAGAACUAUUUACAAGUUAAUUUCUGUUCCAGUUAUUUUCCUUAGUAAUCAUUUAUUGCACAUCAAUAGAAUUCCUCUUCCCACCCUCCCAUAGCCUGUUCUGCCAGGAUCCAAGCCUUCAUUCUUUCUGUAACCUCAAGAUGGUAUGUCAACCUUUGUACCUCAUUGGGAAGCUGGGUCUUCAUUUUGAAGGCUUCCAAAUAUACACAUUAAAUAAAUUUGUAUGUCUUUUCUCCUAUUAGUCAAUCUUCUUCUUGUCAGUGAUUUUCAGUGAACCUUUAAGGGGUCAAGUUUUGGCCCCCACACCUGCCUUCAGUAGCACGUUUGUUUGAAGGUGGAUCAAC